UACGUAGGGUGCAAGCGUUAAUCGGAAUUACUGGGCGUAAAGCGUGCGCAGGCGGUUUUGUAAGACUGUCGUGAAAUCCCCGGGCUUAACCUGGGAAUGGCGAUGGUGACUGCAAGGCUAGAGUUUGGCAGAGGGGGGUAGAAUUCCACGUGUAGCAGUGAAAUGCGUAGAUAUGUGGAGGAACACCGAUGGCGAAGGCAGCCCCCUGGGUCAAAACUGACGCUCAUGCACGAAAGCGUGGGGAG
rnacentral:rRNA from 1 species